AUGAGAGAUGUCCUACUAUUUGGAUUUCACGCCAUUUCUUUCGUGCUAUUUGCAUUUGCAGUGUAUUAUGACUUCAUGUACACCAUUGUGCCAACGAAAGUCGCCAGGGUGUACAAUUCCUACGGUGGAAAGUUCAAGUUCCUCACUUUUUGGGACGCGAUAAUACAGGCGGUCUUCUUCUUCAUUUGCCUACUUAACGACUUCUACGGUAGCAAUAAAGUCAAUCUGAAGAAGAGGCCUCUGAUACGCAAGAUCAAAGACUAUAUCCACGCUACAUUCAGCUUCCCGAUCGCCAUGUUUGUCGGGAUUACGUUCUGGGCCUUGAUGUUCGUCGACCGAGAACUGGUGUUGCCCAAAGCCCUGGACCCAUACUUUCCGUGGUGGUUGAAUCAUAUGAUGCACACCAUGAUUAUGGUUACAACAUUACUGGAGACGAUUAUCUGCCCCCGGCAGUAUCCUAAGCGAGGGAACGGUUUAGCGGGGCUUUCCGUUCUUAUGCUCGCUUACCUGGUCUGGAUGCACGUGAUCCACGCGAAAAGUGGAAUCUGGGUUUAUCCAGUGAUGGAGGUGUUGACCUUCCCUUUAAGGGUUGCAUUCUUCGCGGUGCUGUUUGUUUUCGUUACGAUCUUAUACUUUGCCGGAGAAUCGCUGGACAACCUCAUUUGGGGUAACGCACAACUUAAGCAACACAAAUCUUAUUCCAAAAUCAAGUAGCCUCGUCGUUUGCCGCUGGUAGGUGACUUUCAAAUGCGCUCUGUCCACUUCGACAACGGAAACAACAGAAAAUCCUCAGGUAAGAGCAGUAGGGAGAGAAAAUCAAAAUGAAAAGAUGUCAAGCUAAUUAUGCGUGAAAGUGCAAUAGUUAUUACAUAUAUAAAUUGUUAUUGUUCAUGCAUAAUACGUAAAACAUAGCUAAUGAAAUAAGGGAGCUAUUAGUCUCUCAAAUUGCGGUUAUCGGUGGCAAUUUAUGCAAAAACAUGUCUUUGAAGUGAGACAUUGGCAUACGGUUACUUUGAUUUAGUUUUUAGUAAUACUGGUACUCAACUUUUGAUGUGAAUAAGCGGUACGACGAAUUUGUAACAAUUUGUGACAUUUUAUAAAAAGAAAAUACACUAGGAUCAGGAAAUAGAACAUUCAUCUAGGCAGAAAUUAAAUUAAUGAUUUCCUAUAUGGUCAAAAUAUUGCGUUAUAAAAUAUUUUUCGUCUUGACCCAAAAAGGUCAAUAGGUACACUGCCUAUAUUACUGUUUACCAAAUGAAAUUCACAAUAAAUAAAUACGAUCGUUUUUCAUUUUUCUGAUGUAUUACUGUUAAAUAAAUCUAUUAUAUUAUUUUUA
rnacentral:misc_RNA from 1 species